UGUGCAUCAAUUUAUAUGGGGCAAUUUUAUUUAUUUCACUUGUUUUAAGUCGGUCUACUCUGCAUGAAGAGUACCAGUAACAUUAGUAUAAUGUCUUCUUUGUCCCUUCGUCUGUAGUCCGACCCUGAUGAUCUCAUGGUGAUGUCAUCAAGGUUAUCUCGCUUUGGGCUUGAAGGGAGAAAUUCUUAACUUAAACUGCAUUACAAAACUGGAGGUGUGACGUUUGAAUGUGGAUGUUUACCAGUUUAUUUGAUCUGUCUCUGCAGAUCCAACUUCCUUCUGAAUGUGACGGACUGAAUCCCUUUGAUUCCAACACCAGUGAGACACUGUUGCCAUGACACCCAAUGCCCGUAAGUGAUGCAAGUGUUCCAGGUGCAGAGAGAAAGUGGACAAUCAGUCAAAUUACCUUUAUGAGCUGUCCCCACCUGAGGGGGGGGUGGACCAGUACACUUUCAGGUAUGGGUUAGUGGAUUAGUGUGUGCAAUCAGUGGCUGUGAACAAACCACUGGGCAGGGAUUUUAAGAAUCAGUCCUCUGAUAAAUGUUAGCCGCAACAUCUCAGCGGUCAUUAUGUUCACUGAGAUCUUUAUCCGUGUUGCACUAGUAUUUCUUGUACUGCUCUCUGCAGAGAAACUCCUUAGUGUUCAGGAUGUAAAAUGUAGUCUUCAGCUGUGUAGUUCCAUAUUUAGAGCGAACAUGGCUGCAGUGGUGAUCAUCUCCAUUAAAGUGAAGCGAGGCUUUCAUUUCCAUUACAGAUUCUGAUCUUUCCUGCCUUCACCACUGUUACAUAAAACUACACAAGC
ensembl:lncRNA